CUCGUAGGCGGCUCGUCGCGUCCGGUGUGAAAGUCCAUCGCUUAACGGUGGAUCCGCGCCGGGUACGGGCGGGCUUGAGUGCGGUAGGGGAGACUGGAAUUCCCGGUGUAACGGUGGAAUGUGUAGAUACCGGGAAGAACACCAAUGGCGAAGGCAGGUCUCUGGGCCGUUACUGACGCUGAGGAGCGAAAGCGUGGGGAGCGAACA
rnacentral:rRNA from 1 species